AUUGAACGCUGGCGGCAGGCCUAACACAUGCAAGUCGAGCGAGCGGCGGACGGGUGAGUAAUGUAUGGGGACUGCCCGAUAGAGGGGGAUAACUACUGGAAACGGUAGCUAAUACCGCAUACUAUCGGAUAACCCAUAUGGGAUUAGCUAGUAGGUGAGGUAAUGGCUCACCUAGGCGACGAUCCCUAGCUGGUCUGAGAGGAUGAUCAGCAACAAUGGGACUAAGACACGGCCCAGAAUCCGACGGAGGCAGCAGUGGGGAAUAUUGAACAAUGGGCGCAAGCCUGAUGCAGCCAUGCCGCGUGUGUGAAGAAGGCCCUAGGGUUGUAAAGGACUUUCAGUCGGGAGGCGUUACCGACAGAAGAAGCACCGGCUAACUUCGUGCCAGCAGCCGCGGUAAUAC
rnacentral:rRNA from 1 species